rnacentral:rRNA from 1 species
UACGGAGGGUGCGAGCGUUGUUCGGAAUUACUGGGCGUAAAGGGCGCGCAGGCGGCUCUGAAAGUCAGAUGUGAAAGCCCCGGGCUUAACCUGGGAACUGCAUUUGAUACUCUGGAGCUUGAGUACGGGAGAGGAUAGUGGAAUUCCCAGUGUAGAGGUGAAAUUCGUAGAUAUUCGGAAGAACACCAGUGGCGAAGGCGACUUACUGGACACAUAUUGACGCUGAGGUGCGAAAGCGUGGGGAGCAAACAGG